rnacentral:rRNA from 1 species
AGUGAACGCUGGCGGUAGGCCUAACACAUGCAAGUCGAACGGCAGCACAGUAAGAGCUUGCUCUUACGGGUGGCGAGUGGCGGACGGGUGAGGAAUACAUCGGAAUCUACUUUUUCGUGGGGGAUAACGUAGGGAAACUUACGCUAAUACCGCAUACGACCUACGGGUGAAAGCAGGGGAUCUUCGGACCUUGCGCGAUUGAAUGAGCCGAUGUCGGAUUAGCUAGUUGGCGGGGUAAAGGCCCACCAAGGCGACGAUCCGUAGCUGGUCUGAGAGGAUGAUCAGCCACACUGGAACUGAAACACGGUCCAGACUCCUACGGGAGGCAGCAGUGGGGAAUGUUGGACAAUGGGCGCAAGCCUGAUCCAGCCAGACCGCGUGGGUGAAGAAGGCCUUCGGGUUGUAAAGCCCUUUUGUUGGGAAAGAAAAGCAGCAGGUUAAUACCCCGCUGUUCUGACGGUACCCAAAGAAUAAGCACCGGCUAACUUCGUG